AACAGUGACCAUUUUUACUUGUUCGGAAAAGUAAAAUGCAAGUGUGUGGGAAGCGAAAGGAAUGGGGGGGGGCAGUAGGAGGGUUGGGGGAGGACGUCCUUUAGAGUGGGACUCAUCUGAAGCAUCAGGGAUCUAGCUGGAGGCUCUCUUCUCCACCCCCACCCCCUACCCCGGAGUUCCUUCCCCGAGAUUACAAUUCUGAUUCAUCUCCACUUGAUCCACCAUGCCAUAGAAACCUGUUCACCCUGGAAACUUGUUUUACCUGAGGACUAAUUCUAACACUGGAAACACCUGAUGACUCUUGGCCUCUCCCUCAGACUGUACAAAGCCUGGAUAAGAGAGGAGUACAUAUUUCAUUCCAAGUGCGAUGGAUGUAGAGAUCAGUGUGGCGUGGUCUUCAUUCCAGAGGAAAGGUCACAGUUUCAGGCCAGCUGGAGAUGGAAGACAGAACAUAUCCUGAGUUGCAGCCAACCGGAGAUUUGAAAUUAGAAUCUGGGCUCAACCUGCAUCUGGGUUUUUAGAAAUCUGAUUGUAAGAGGAUAGGGUUGUCAAAUGGUUGGAAGGAAUACUCCGGUUUCUAGAGACCCAAAGUGACACAGGCUGGAUUUUGCCAAGAAAAGUGAUUAGCAUGUUUAUCUCAUCAUUUGAGUCAUCAUAUUCCCAGGAGAAUGAAGAAACUUUUGGGAAGCAAGUGGGUGGAGUUAGCAGAGGAUUGAUAGGAUGAUUGAAAUGGAGGAAGAUGGGACUUCUUUUGAGUGGUCCAGGUGGAUGGACACUCUGGCCAAUCUGGCUACAGAAUCAAAGGCACUCUAAUAGAGACAGGCUGUCUUAGAAACUUGCCAGUUUUCCCUUUGGUUAAGUGGAUGACUCUCUCCUUCAAGAACUAUGGCCUGGGAUCCAGCCCUAUGGCUUAUUUUGGAACGCAUAGUUGGGGAUCAUUUUUAUUGGGAAAUGUGGCUUGGAGUGUGGGAUUGUUAAGAAUUCUGUCUAUCUUUGAAGAUAAAUGUUUGCUGGCAUUCAGAGAUCCUCUCUGGGCUCUUGAAUACACAACAGCUGCCUCUUCUCACUGUGAUUAGAAGAGGUAAAAACAAUUGAUGUUCAGGAAUGCACAGCUAACUCAAGAAUCUUAGGAAGAGGAGUCUUUCUCAAGGAUUGUUUUGGGAGAAAGAACUUAAAGAGCAGAGAGAAUACCUUUGCUUCAAAUGACCUCAAGGUCAUGGGUUUUGUAGUAUAUAGAAAGCCAAGGAGUCAGGGGAUGUGGUCUGUAAGUCCAGCUUUGGCAUUAAUCACACUGUGCCCUUGGGUCUGUUGUUUAACCCCUCUGUGUCCCAGCUUUGGUCUCUGCCCCCUAAAAUGGAGGUUACAAUAUAAUUUCUCUCUCUCACACAGGAUUGUUGUGAAAAUCAAUUAAGAUCAUGGAUAUUAAAGUUCUUUCCUUUUAAAAACAUCUGAUUUUAAUGAACAUAAAAGAAAGGUUAUAUGAAAGAAGUUUUCACAGAGAUAAAGCACUCUAUAUAUAGAAAGUAUGUAUAAAAAAUUUUUUUAGAGUGGAAGGAGAGAAUAUUAAUCCUAUAAUGGAGUGCCACACAUGAAUAGCACUUAAGGAAAUAGGUUCCCACAUAGCCCCUCCUAAUAAAUGUUUGAAUUGUCAAUUGCAUUUAAUAUUAUUUAUUAAGGGUCUACUAUGAAUCUAGUACUUUGUUCAUGUGCUAAGAUGAGAAACACAAGAGACAAAAUUAAUUCCUGCCUUUGAAUAGCUUACAUUCUACUGAUGAGUGACUGGACAUGAAUAAAUGAAUCAAGGAAUCAAAAAGCAUUUAUAAAGCAAUUAUUAAAUGCCAAGCACUGUACCUAUACAUACAAAGAUACAUGUAGAUAGAUUAGUAAACAAAAAAUAUAUAAAAGUAAUCCAAAGUAAUUUGAAGAGGGAGAGAGUAGAAACAUCUCUUUCCCUUCAGCAGUUUACAUUCUAUAGGAAGAUGUUACAAUCUGCAUAGGAACAAAUGGACACAAAGUAGAGUGGGGGAAUUUGGAAAGUGUCAAAACUGAACCUAGUAUAUGCUAAGUAUGUUUUCCAAGUAAACUGGCGGCUUACCAAACAUCCCCGGAAACCAUAUGCUUCUCAAGACUCUUAAUUAUAUUUAUUUGGGAGUGAUAGAGAAAAUAAAACCACUAACAGCAUCUAAAGUGCAGGCAAAAGCCCAACCAGGGAUAAAGCUAGUGUUUGAUUCCUAAGCAAUAACUCAGUAGUAACCACAAUCCCACGAGAAUGAGAUUUUGCCAAGAACCUCAACUUCAGGGUGGUGUCUUUCCACAAAUGCACCACAAAACAGUGUCCUAAAACAUUAGGAUGGGAGGAUCCAGGAUGAAAAAAAAAAUUAUGGGAUAAAAAAAUGGAAAUCUAAAAUGUCUGUGUACAUAAUAUUUGAAAAGUUCAAUUUGACCAGAACUAUUAGGAAAAAUUUAUGAUCCCUUUAGCCAACAAAAAUAUAUGAGGGAACAUAUUUUAUAUAUGUUUUGAUAUAAAAUACCUGCUGAUUUCUUUUUAUAGCUUCAAGCCAGAAUUGACUGAUUCUGAAUUUUCUUCUGCCUGCCACACCCCAUUAUCCACAACCCACAUGGCUUUCUCCAAAUUUCUAGAAAUAUGAGUUUGUCAAGUCCAACUCGAGGCCACAAUGGGAAUCAUGAAUCAGUAAAGCUGACCCAAAGUUGUUUGCUUCCUGCCAACUCCCAGAUAAUGUUGGGCAUGAUUAGAAAGGAUAAUUUUGUGAUAAAAAUGGUGACUAUUGGCUUUCAGGGGAACCCUAGGUAAAUGACUGAGAGUCAUAGAAUCACAGACUCAGAGUUGGAAGGGGCAACAAUCAUCUAAAAUGCUUUGAAUACUGUUGCUACUAGAAUGAUCCAAAUCUCUCUUAGGAAGAAAGGAAUCAUUUCUCAGAAAUUGUAUAAUGUAGUCACCUUACAUUUAGGGAUGCUCAGGACUGACAGUUUUCACAACUAUUCUUUCUCAACACUUUGUCUAAAAAAUGUUAAUAUUACUCCUCAAAUCAAAUUUUAGGGUGACAGAACCAACAAAAGGUCAGAGUGAAAUAUUUUUUCAGCCUAAGACAACUAAGAAUUUUUUUCCAUUUCACUUAUGUAUUUAGUUCUCAAUAGUCCUAGAGCCAAACAUUUGAAUAUAGGAAAUUUGGGAGGAAUGGAUAAGAAGGAGAGAAUAGAGGAUCAGCCUUUAUUUGGAGAAAGUAUUUGGGGACAAUUUUGAGAAGAUGGGGUAUGAUUUUUUAUUUUAUUUUAAAAAGUAGUCCACAAUUUGGUCUAAAACCAUCAUUGGAGAUUUAUUCUUCAGUCUGCAUAGUCUGUAUCAUGUGUUGUUAUUCCAAAUGCAUUUCCAAAAUAUGUAAUAUCCCAUUUGACAGUUACUUCAUCUGUGUACUUCAUACCACCUGAGUCUAGGGCAGAGGUUCUCAACCUGUGGGUCACGACCCCAGUGGGGGUCAAAUGACCAAAACACAGGGGUCGCCUAAAGCCAUCAGAAAAUGCAUAUUUCCGAUGGCUUUAGCCUCUGAGAAAUCACGCUACUUUACAGCAAGAUCUCAGAAAGAACAGGGACCCUGCUGCCCGCACAUUGUACUAAUAUUAGUUACCUAUCAGCAGCCCUCCCCCUAUGAGGGGCGAUGGAUUUACCCUGUUGCCUGGAGACCAGACUCAAACAGAGACCCAGAGAGAGCACCCUGGCGCUGGCUCCCGAGGGGUUAAGAACGAGUCCUGGAGCGGAUAACUCCUGGAGCGGAUAACGGAGUCGAGUAACCCCAGCAAAGUGAAGCCUCAGCUCGAGCUGGAGGGAGACGACAGGAAGAAGAAGGCAGAAUCUGCUGACUCCCUCCCCAGGCAGGACUUACCUCCCACCCCAGCGCUCAGGCUGCCUCCUGCUGGAUUAAUAUUUCUCAACAUAUAAUUAAAUAUUGUUUUUGUGAU